GGACGGUGUCCGGCUCAGUAACAAGUAGUCAAUCUGCCCUAAGGACGGGUAUACCCUCGGGAAACUGAGGUUAAUCCCCGAUGCUCCACCUGUGCUGGAAUGCUUGGUGGGGAAAACGCGCGGUGAAUUGGAGCCGUUGCGCCUUAGGAUGAGACUGCUCCUGAUUAGGUAGUUGGUGAGGUAACGGCUCACCAAGCCGAUAAUCAGUAGGGGCAAUGGGAGUUGGCGCCCCGAGAAGGGCACUGAGACAAGGGCCCUAGUCCUACGGGAUGCAGCAGGCGCGAAACCUUUACAAUGCGCGAAAGCGUGAUAAGGGAACUCUGAGUGGCAGCCGGCUUUUGCCGACUGUCUUUUGGCGAACCUAAACCGUUCGCAGAAUAAGUUCUGGGUAAGACCAGUGCCAGCCGCCAUGUGCAUACGCAUAUUGCGCACGGUACGCGGUAAUACUGGCAGAACGAGUGGUGUCCACGAAUAUUGGGUCUAAAGAGACCGUAGCUGGUCUGUUAAGUCCACUGUGAAAUCUUGGGGCUCAACCUCAAGGCGUGCAGUGGAUACUGGCAGACUUGAGAGCGGGGGAGGUCAGGGGUACUUACGGGGUAUGAGUAAAAUCAGUUGAUCCUGUAAGGACCACCAGUGGCGAAGGCGCCUGACCAAAACGCGUCUGACAGUGAGGGUCGAAGGCUAGGAGAACGAAUUGGAUUAGAUACCCGAGUAGCCCUAGCAGUAAAUUAUGCAGACUGUGGUGUUGCUGUGGCUUCGGGCCACGGCAGUGCUGUAGCGUAGGUGUUAAGUCUGCCACCUGGGGAGUACGGCCGCAAGGUUGAAACUUAAAGGAAUUGGCGGGGGAGCACCACAAGGGGUGGAUGCUGCGGUUCAAUUGGAU
rnacentral:rRNA from 1 species